AGCAGCCGCGGUAAUUCCAGCUCCAAUAGCGUAUAUUAAAGUUGUUGCAGUUAAAAAGCUCGUAGUUGAAUUUCGGGAUCAAUAUGUCGGUCGUGCCAUCGGUACGUACUGGUAUCAUUGGUCUCUCCUUUCUGACGAACCAUGAUGUCAUUAAUUUGGUGUUAUGGGGAGUUAGGACUGUUACUUUGAAAAAAUUAGAGUGUUUAAAGCAGGCAUUAGCUUGAAUACAUUAGCAUGGAAUAAUGAAAUAGGACGUUCGAACCUAUUUUGUUGGUUUCUAGGAUCAACGUAAUGAUUAAUAGGGAUAGUUGGGGGCAUUAGUAUUCAAUUGUCAGAGGUGAAAUUCUUGGAUUUAUUGAAGACUAACUACUGCGAAAGCAUUUGCCAAGGAUGUUUUCAUUAAUCAAGAACGAAAGUUAGGGGAUCGAAGACGAUCAGAUACCGUCGUAGUCUUAACCAUAAACUAUGCCGACUAGGGAUCGGAUGAUGUUAAUUUUUUAAUGACUCAUUCGGCGCCUUACG
rnacentral:rRNA from 1 species